rnacentral:rRNA from 1 species
CCCUUAGAUGUUCUGGGCCGCACGCGCGCUACACUGAUACAUUCAACGAGUUUCUUCCUGGUCCGAGAGGAAUGGGUAACCUUUUGAAAGUGCAUCGUGAUAGGGAUAGACUAUUUCAAUUAUUGGUCUUCAACGAGGAAUUCCUAGUAGACGUAGUUCAUCAGACUGCAUCGAUUACGUCCCUGCCCUUUGUACACACCGCCCGUCGCUCCUACCGAUUGAAUGCUCAGGUGAGCCAUUCGGACUUUCUUCAUGCUGGUUUCCAGUUUUGAUGAAGGAAAGUCUUGCGAACCUUAUCAUUUAGAGGAAGGAGAAGUCGUAACA